AAAAUAAACAUUAAAAAAAAUUAAAACAAAAAAGAAACCGGGUACAAAAAUACCCUUCAAGAUGAAAGUGAACGUCUUGGAGAAAGGCAGAAAUAGGACAGAAGCGUUUCUGUUCUUCCCUCCCUUAUGAGUGUUUCAGAGGUGUAAGCUUUCAGUUAACUGUUUCCGGAGAGUUCUGGAGAUGAGUCAAAAGAGUUUUUGAAAGAAUAUUAACUUGAAGGCUUAAAAGAAACCAGAUUUUAUUUUUAAUGGAAUUACUUAUCACUCAUGCAAAACCAGAGAUCCUUUCGGAACUUUACUCCUAACAGACUGUUUUCUGAUUUGUCUGUUCCUAUGGGAAAAUCCACAGGAGCAGAGACAGCAGGAAUUCUGGAGUCAGAUGGAUGUGUGUUCAGACACUGGCUCUGCGAGCUUGGGAAUGUUAUCUAAUUUCUCUACAAAACAGAAUACUAACUACGUACUUCACAGGAUGGUUUGAGGAAUUAACUGAAAUGAACUAGGCUCCCGUGAUCUACAGAUUUCCCAAGAGAAGCCCUCGCUGCAGCUCCCACGCACAGAGGAAAUCUCAAACCUGCGGCAUUCCCACACGACCACGCCUAGGACCACAGCACCCGCAAAGAGCCAUACGUCUGCACAGCAGUUGUGUCCUUCCCUCUAGGACUCCUUUUCUCCAGUCGAGGGAUUAAAGCCCCAACUCCUUUCCUACAUA